rnacentral:rRNA from 1 species
AUUGAACGCUGGCGGCAGGCCUAACACAUGCAAGUCGAACGGUAACAGGAAGAAGCUUGCUUCUUUGCUGACGAGUGGCGGACGGGUGAGUCAUGUCUGGGAAACUGCCUGAUGGAGGGGGAUAACUACUGGAAACGGUAGCUAAUACCGCAUAACGUCGCAAGACCAAAAAGGGGGACCUUCGGGCCUCUUGCCAUCGGAUGUGCCCAGAUGGGAUUAGCUAGUAGGUGGGGUAACGGCUCACCUAGGCGACGAUCCCUAGCUGGUCUGAGAGGAUGACCAGCCACACUGGAACUGAGACACGGUCCAGACUCCUACGGGAGGCAGCAGUGGGGAAUAUUGCACAAUGGGCGCAAGCCUGAUGCAGCCAUGCCGCGUGUAUGAAGAAGGCCUUCGGGUUGUAAAGUACUUUCAGCGGGGAGGAAGGGAGUAAAGUUAAUACCUUUGCUCAUUGACGUUACCCGCAGAAGAAGCACCGGCUAACUCCGUG